GCAUUUCUCGUGUGUUUUUCACAGUAAAAACCCCAUUUCAAGAGCUUUUCGCAGUCUUGGGUAGCCUUUGGUGUCCUCAGGGAGUCAUUUAGUGCCUUUGGAGCCAUUGAUCUUUAACUUUUGGAGCCUUUUUUGUGUUUCUGUGGAGCCUUCCCUAGCCUUGGGAACCUUUUGGGAGCCUUUUCUCUUUCAUUCCUGUGGAGCUUCUAGGAGGAACCUCUUGCAGCACUGUGCAGUCUUGUUAAAAUGAGCAAGUGCACAGCGGAGAGCUCUGCUGAGUGGAGUGGCAAAAGAUCUUGCAAAGUGUGCCCUUGAGCGAGAACGUGAAGCUGCUGAACAUGCUGGCUCAUGGGGACAGUGUGGCAUCCAUUGCACGCCAUUAUGGCAUCCACUGCACGCCAUUAUGGCAUCCAGUCCACUGUCCGCUCCAUAAAGAAAUGCAAAGUCAGUAUCCAUAGAAAGUUCCGCUGCUGCUAAGUAUAGCUCUUGUCUCUGAGACUGUGGAGAACGGAGACUCUGAAGGAAGGGAAACAGGAAUGGAGGCAGCAGCUAGCCUGUUGGCAGUCACUCACAAAGGCAAGGCUUCGCAAUGUGUCGCUCUUCUGCUCUUCCAUAACAAGCUGUCAAACUACCAAAAAAAAAAAAAAAAAAGCACUCUCACCUCUUCUUAUU